rnacentral:rRNA from 1 species
AGUGAACGCUGGCGGUAGGCCUAACACAUGCAAGUCGAACGGCAGCACAGUAAGAGCUUGCUCUUACGGGUGGCGAGUGGCGGACGGGUGAGGAAUACAUCGGAAUCUACUUUUUCGUGGGGGAUAACGUAGGGAAACUUACUCUAAUACCGCAUACGACCUACGGGUGAAUGCAGGGGAUCUUCGGAACUUCAUCGAUUGAAUGAGCCGAUGUCGGAUUAGCUAGUUGGCGGGGUAAAGGGCCACCAAGGCGACGAUCCGUAGCUGGUCUGAGAGGAUGAUGAGCCACACUGGAACUGAGACACGGUCCAGACUCCUACGGGAGGCACAAGUGGGGAAUAUUGGAAAAUGGGCGCAGUCCUGCUCCAGCCAUACCGCGUGGGUGAAGAAGGCCUUCGGGUGGUAAAGCCCUUUUGUUGGGAAAGAAAAGCAGCAGGUUAAUACCCCGCUGUUCUGACGGUACCCAAAGAAUAAGCACCGGCUAACUUCGUG